CUGGCGAUGGUGGAGUUGGUAACACAUUGCCACGUUAAGGCAAAGAAUGGACGUUCGAAUCGUCCUCGCCGGG
rnacentral:tRNA from 1 species